AUCUAUGGUGUGGGCAUUGCAAUAAAAGUAGCUUAAAGCGAUCUCAUGCUUCAUGAAAAGAUUCAGUAUCCUUUUGAUAAAAGUUGAAAAUUUCAGUCCUUAACU
rfam:Ricinus communis cultivar Hale ctg_1100012357858, whole genome shotgun sequence.